rnacentral:rRNA from 1 species
ACUCCUACGGGAGGCAGCAGUGGGGAAUAUUGCGCAAUGGGCGAAAGCCUGACGCAGCAACGCCGCGUGAGGGAUGACGGCCUUCGGGUUGUAAACCUCUUUCAGCAGGGACGAAGCGUAAGUGACUGUACCUGCAGAAGAAGCGCCGGCUAACUACGUGCCAGCAGCCGCGGUAAUAC